GGUGCAUCCUGUUACCAGGCAGGAAAGCGCAGAUCCCAGAGGCCUCCUCCUCGCGAGACCACGCUCAGGAGGACGGGGCUGUCUGUGAGCCAAGCAAGGAAAAUCGCUGUCAGGAAGUACCUGUUUUCUAGAUGCAAGGCUUCCCAGAAGAGUGUCCUAUCAUCUUGGAGUUCCAUGGUUGCAGGGCUGAUUGUCCAGGAAUGCCAUGAGAAAUGCUCCUUGGGGGCAGGAAGAGAAAAUGUACCAUUUCCUUCAGCGAGGGCACAGCAAGGAUCCAAAAAGGAAGAAACCACUUCCCCCUACUUACACACAGAAAGCUAAUUUUUUUCCUGGACUCGCAAAAAUACAUUGAAUAUUUUAACUGAUCAGGGUUCCCACAGCUGGUCACGCGAUAUCUGCUCCAUCAUGAAGACCUAGAGAUCUCGGAGACCUGUCAGACCUAACAUUUUAAGUCCAGGAGCCUCCAAGAAGGCAGACGGAUAGCACAAGGUUAUAGGAGGCAGACAGGAGAUCACAUGAAGAUGUACAAUGGUGUUCAGCACUCGCUGGGUGGAAGCAGAGAGGAAAACCGUUAACAGGAAAAUGUAAUGCCUGGAGGGAGUCUAACCAGACCCAAGAACCCCAGGACAUCCAGCUAGGAGGGAGUCCAGAGCCUACUGCAGCCCCUUCUGUCGCGGGAAGUGACCCCAAAGGAAGGGUGCUGGCCCACAAAUCUACAGCCGGCUGGUCACAAGGUCGAUUCUGGAACCCUAGAGUAGGUACUGGGACACGGACGUACUUUUGGAGUCAAUGUGGUUAUUUAAACCAAUCCCACCUGGGAUAAAAUGCAGACAGUUGAAACCAGUCGGGGGAGGCCAACCCCUAGAGAUCUGAUCACUGGCCAGUCCUUCAAUGGUAAUGGGGCCUCCACAGCUCACAGCAGGCUCUGCACAAACAGGACCCGGGAGAGACAGCUCUGCUGUCCAGGCAUCAGGGAAACAAUUGUUGGGAACUUAAAACAGCCUCAAACCUUAGGCAUUUGGAAAAAAAAAAAAAAAAGGUUGAGGCGUGAAGGAGGGAAUACCCGAAGGAGUCAAGGGUCCUGUCAAACAGGUUCCCGAGGCCUGGCUUGCUCUUCCCUGAUACCGAGUCUCUCCCACCUUUCCCUGCAGCCUGAAUCGAAUGCUCAAGAGGAGAUAAUGUAUACAGACACCGACAUAAGUAGAAACAGCAAGAUAACUGCCCGUGACUUCUUGUACUAAUUUCCUGCUUGGUCUGUCUGGGCUUGAAGCCUCCAGUGCCCAGCACAGCUGUCAGGCAAUCGCCUUGAAGCCACAGGCGGUCUCAAGGCUGC